rnacentral:lncRNA from 1 species
AUUUAUGAAAAUGGAGGCCCAGGAAUUUGGGAAAUACUUACCGCAUAAGAAACAGAUGGAUGCUGGACUUUGGUUUUGAGUUGCAAGUGUAUCUAUUUGGGGAUUAAGACUGCAUAAUGCACAUCAAACAUCGUGUUCAUUUGUUUUCAGAGCGGAACUGUAACGUGUUUUUAGUCCCCAUCAUCAUUGAAAAGGUAGAUUCACAAAAACAAGUCGACGUAGAAAGAAGAAUUAUUCGAACGUUCAUAACAUUGAAGUUCCUUAGAGC